rnacentral:rRNA from 1 species
GUGGGGAAUCUUGCGCAAUGGGCGAAAGCCUGACGCAGCCAUGCCGCGUGAAUGAUGAAGGUCUUAGGAUUGUAAAAUUCCUUCACCGGGGACGAUAAUGACGGUACCCGGAGAAGAAGCUCCGGCUAACUACGUGCCAGCAGCCGCGGUAAUACGUAGGGAGCAAGCGUUGUCCGGAUUUAUUGGGCGUAAAGAGCUCGUAGGCGGUUUCGUAAGUCGAGUGUGAAAAAUCUGGGCUUAACCCAGUGGAGCACUCGAUACUGCGAUGACUUGAGUCUGGUAGAGGAGUGUGGAAUUCCUGGUGUAGCGGUGAAAUGCGCAGAUAUCAGGAGGAACACCAACGGCGAAGGCAGCACUCUGGGCCAGUACUGACGCUGAGGAGCGAAAGCGUGGGGAGCAAACAGGAUUAGAAACCCUUGUAGUCC